rnacentral:rRNA from 1 species
AUUGCACGCCGGCGGCAGGCCUAACACAUGCAAGUCGAGCGGAGCGGCGGACGGGUGAGUAAUGCCUAGGAAUCUGCCUGGUCGUGGGGGAUAACGUCCGGCAACGGGCGCUAAUACCGCAUAAUAUCAGCUGAGCCUAGGUCGGAUUAGCUCGUUGGUGGGGUAACGGCCUACCAAGGCGACGAUCCGUAACUGGUCUGAGAGGAUGAUCAGUAACACUGGAACUGAGAAACGGUCCAGACUCCUACGGGAGGCAGCAGUGGGGAAUAUUGGACAAUGGGCGAAAGCCUGAUCCAGCCAUGCCGCGGGUGUGAAGAAGGUCUUCGGAGUGUAAAGCACUUUAAGUUGGGAGGCGUUACCAACAGAAUAAGCACCGGCUAACUUCGUGCCAGCCGCCGCGGUAAUUC